rnacentral:rRNA from 1 species
AUUGAACGCUGGCGGCACGCCUAACACAUGCAAGUCGAGCGGUAGCAUAGUUAGUAGCAAUACUAACUGAUGACGAGCGGCGGACGGGUGAGGAAUACGUAGGAAUCUACCCUCGAGCGGGGGACAACCAAGGGAAACUUUGGCUAAUACCGCAUAAACUCGAGAGAGAAAAGCUGCUCGCAAGGGUGGCACUCGAGGAGGAGCCUGCGUCCGAUUAGCUAGUUGGUGGGGUAAGAGCCCACCAAGGCGAUGAUCGGUAACUGGUCUGAGAGGACGACCAGUCACACUGGGACUGAGACACGGCCCAGACACCUACGGGUGGCAG